rnacentral:rRNA from 1 species
GCCUGGUUAGUACUUGGAUGGGAGACUUCCUGGGAAUACCAGGU